rnacentral:rRNA from 1 species
ACUCAAAUGAAUUGACGGGGACCCGCACAAGCAGGGGAGCGUGUGGUUUAAUUCGACACAAAGCGAAAAACCUCACCCAGGUUUGACAUGGAACUGCAAGCGCACAGAAAUGUGUGAUCUUCGAGAGUGUUCCACAGGUGCUGCAUGGCUGUCGUCAGCUCGUACCGUGAGGCGUUGGUUUAAGUACCGCAACGAGCGCAACCCCCGUCCUUAGUUGUAUCACUCUAAGGAAACUGCCGUUCGUAUAGAACGGAGGAAGGCGGGGAUGACGUCAAGUCAGCACGGCCCUUAUGUCUGGGGCUACACACACCCUACAAUGGUGCAUAACAACGAGCUUCGCAAGUCAGUAAUGGCAAGCAAAUCUCUAAAACUGCACCUCAGUUCAGAUCGAGGGCUGCAACCCGCCCUCGUGAAGCAGGACUUGCUAGUAAUCGCGGAUCAGCAGGCCGCGGUGAAUACGUUCUCGGGUCUUGUACACACCGCCCGU